rnacentral:piRNA from 1 species
UCCACUUUGUCUGAGUGGGAUCCUGCCUCA